rnacentral:sRNA from 1 species
CUGUGAUAUUGCAUUAUGGGAAAUUGUGACGUCACGCAGAUAAAUGUAGCACAUUCGAAUACUUGCAACCGGCAAGUGGAUUACAUUGACAGAAGACACUGCAGUUUAACAGACGUUCCCGAUGAUGUUUUGCGGUAUACCCGGAGUUUAGAGGAACUUUUACUAGAUGCUAAUCAACUGAAGGAUUUACCCAAGGGGUUCUUUCGUCUUGUUCAACUCAGGAAAUUGAGUCUAAGUGAUAAUGAGAUCGCCAGGCUGCCACCAGAGGUGGCUAACCUCGUCAACCUUAUGGAAAUGGACAUUAGCAGGAACGAUAUCGGUGAUAUUCCAGAGAACAUCAAGUUUUUGAAAAAUCUGCAGGUUUUGGAUAUCAGCAGUAACCCUCUAACAAAACUUCCAGAAGGGUUCACUCAGCUGAGGAAUCUCACUCAUCUUGGACUCAAUGAUAUUUCUCUCAUGAGGCUUCCACCAGAUAUUGGAAGCUUGACAAACUUGGUUUCGCUGGAGCUGCGCGAGAACAUGAUCCAGUUCCUUCCUCAGUCCAUGUCACUGCUGGUCAAGCUGGAGAUUCUGGACCUGGGCAGUAACAACAUUAAAGAGUUGCCUGAAAUAAUUGGAAGCCUCCCUAGCUUACAGGAAUUGUGGCUGGAUUGUAAUGAGUUACAAGACUUGCCACCAGAAAUCGGUAACCUCAGAAAGCUGACCCAGAUAGAUGUCUCUGAGAACCAGCUAACCUACAUCCCUGACGAAAUCUGCGGACUUCAGAAUCUGACAGAUCUGUGCUUAUCCCAAAAUGACCUGGAAGAUAUUCCGGAGGGAAUCGGUUCACUUAAAAAACUCUCUAUUCUGAAGCUGGAUCAGAACAAAUUGGGUUUUCUUCCCCAGGAAAUAGGAAAUUGUGAAAGCUUGACAGAGUUAAUUCUUACAGAAAAUUAUUUAGAGGAACUGCCAUCAACAAUAGGAAGACUUAGGCUUUUAUCCAACUUAAAUGUAGAUAGAAAUCAGCUGAAGGAAAUCCCUGUGGAGAUUGGACAGUGUGUGCGGCUGAAUGUGGUGUCCCUCAGAGACAACCGCCUGCUGAGGCUGCCGCAGGAGUUAGGUAACCUGAAGGAGCUCCACGUGCUGGAUGUGUCCGGCAACAAGUUAGAGUAUCUACCCAUCACAAUCACCAAUCUCCACCUGAAUGCCUUGUGGCUCUCGGAGAAUCAAGCCAAACCCAUGUUAAAAUUUCAGACAGAUUUUGACGACAGAACGGGGCAGCACGUCUUGACGUGUUUCCUGUUGCCUCAGCAAGGUUUUCACACAGAGAGCAUGGAGAACCUUCUGAAGGGCAGUAUAGCUACGGACCGCGACAGCAGGCUCAGCUACAGCGUAGACCGAGAGAAUAUGUUAAAUGGCAGCACAACCACAGAUCAGGAUAGUCGCCUGAACUAUAAACUAGAUCGAGAUGUGCCUGACCACGCGGCGGUCGAUUCGGAGGAGCCUGUCAGACAGAGAGACAGCGUCAUCACAUGGAGCGUCCCCGCCGAGUCGGACAGUGACGGCGAGGGUGAUGGGAAAUUUCUGCGUCAGAACACCCCCCACCCUGCUGACCUCAAGCGGCGCCACCCCAAGUACCAGAAGAUCAAGGCGGGCAUCGACGGACACAUCAUCCCCCACCAGGAGAAGAAGCAGGAAGAUGUUGGGUUUGUUCCCCGGAGAGACCCUCAGUAUCAGGAGAUUGAGAUCCCACCCCCAGAUAAAGACUACAUAGCCCAGCAUGCUCAGCCCAGACCUGAGAAGAAGACAGUGACUCUGAUUGAUGAGCCCGCUACCAUCAGAACUCCAGAACUAGAGGGUCCCCCGAGACAGGAGAACCAGCACCAGGAGGUAAGCUCCGAGGAGGAGUCGCCCUCAGAGACCCAGCCUCUCUUUAAGGAGGUGUCCAUCGACCCAACCGUCGUCACCUACGUACCAACCUCACCCCGAGUUAAUGGUCAUGAGGAGUCGGACGUCUCCGACACGGAGCGACCAACAGUAGAGGAGAUCAUUGUCAAAUCAGAAAUGCCAGACUCGGAUGAGGAAGAAGAAAGGCGACGGGUUGGAUUUGAUAGCUCUGCAGACGAUGACGAGAAACAUACCCCCAGACUCCGUAGGAGAGACACUCCAUUUUACAAGAGGGACAAGAGAAUCGACCGGGACAAGAGUGAGGAGGCCAAAGAGGAGGUGAUGAGGAUACUGGCGGCUAAGAAGAAGCAGGAGGAGGAGCAGCCGUCUAGAGAUGAGGAAGAGGAGGAGGAAGAUGAGGAUGAAGAAGAUGAGGAGGAGGAAGAAUUAGAAGUGCCAGAGGAGGAAACAUACGAGCAGAAUCGUGUCGGUCAGCUGGAGCUCACAAUGGAGUCACAGCCUGACUACGAAGAGGAGGAGCUCACAAUUAACAUAACACGACAGCCUGGCCAGGGGCUGGGCAUCAGUAUCGCAGGGGGCAAAGGCUCCACUCCAUUCAAGGGCAACGACGAGGGCGUGUUUAUAUCAAGAGUGUCUGAGGAUGGUCCAGCAGGCAAGGCAGGAGUCCUCGUCGGGGAUAAACUUCUUUCGGUGAAUGGAGAGAGCCUGGUAGGAGCUGAUCAUUAUGAUGCCGUGGAUGUGUUAAAGACCGCAGGGAAUAACAUUGUGAUGGUGCUAGGGAGGGAGAAAGUUCAGAAGUUUGAGGAGGAGGAGGAGGAAGAGCCAGGGAAGGAAGAGAACAGCAAUACUGGUUUCGCUACAGUCACUUUUGAAUCUGAGCCAGGCAUGGUGAUCUUUGGAGAGACCAUUGUCACCACUCUGAAGAGAGAUCAGACCGGGCUUGGUUUCAGUAUUGCUGGAGGGAGAGGUUCCGUCCCCUUCAAAGGAAACAAUCAGGCCAUUUACAUUUCGCGCAUCGUAGAUGGCGGUGCAGCACAGAUUGAUGGUAAACUGAAAGUAGGAGACCGCAUCAUAUCAAUCAAUGAAGUGGACCUUCAGGAUGCCAGACAUGAUCAGGCUGUAGCAUUGUUAACAGGAAUAGAUAAGGAGAUCAGGCUCGUUGUGUAUCGUGAAAAAGUGGUCUCACCGGACGAGGCAGAAAAAGAGCCCCCUAGUGGACAGAAACUGGAGAGUCUGACUCAACCACUGAUAACGUGGAAUGAGAAACCGCCUACCACGAAGCCGCCACCUGUCCCGGUGGAAACCCCAGUGGAGACUAAUUCAGUGGAGAAGAGUCCCUCCGUCAGCCCCAGUCCUUUCAGUGCGGCUGUACCCUCAUCUUAUACAUAUCCUUCGCCACCAUCUCUAGGCUCCUCCUUCUCUUCCCAGCAUUCUCCAAACCCCGCCUCCCCACAGAACAGUCCAAGGAUAUCCUCGGACUGGAACACACCCCCAACCACCUCUGUUCGACCCCCGACCUUUGUGUAUCCAGGUUUUAAUCGGACUUCUACCCCCAGUGUGUCGUCAUCAUCAAGUGCGCAAAAAACUUCUGAUAUCAAGAAGGAAUCUGCCCCGUCUGCAUAUUCACAAAUAAAACUACCGUCAUCCAUGAUAGUAAAACCAAACAGUAUCAAAAGUGACACAGAGACCCCUCAUGACAGCAAAACUGUGAUGGAUUCCUCAAAUGACACUAGUAAAACAACAAACUCAGUGGACACCAAUAGUUCUGUGGAAAAUCAUAUAGGUGAUGGGGAUAGUAGUGUAGAUUCUAAGUUCCCCAUUGAAGUAGUGACAAUUGUCAAAGCGGGUGGCCCACUAGGCCUCAGUAUAGUGGGAGGGAGCGAUCACUCGAGUCAUCCGUUUGGAAUGGAGGAGCCUGGAGUGUUUGUGUCCAAGAUAGUUCCCGACGGAGCAGCUUCCAAAACUAAACUGAAGAUUGGAGACCGGAUUCUGUCGGUCAACAAUCGGGACGUCACGAGUGCCACUCAUCAGGAGGCAGUAAUGCUGCUGAUUUCACCCACAUAUGAGAUCAAUCUCAAAGUUCGACACGACCCCCCGCCCCCAGGACUCAAGGAACUCAUAGUUGAAAAAGGUCCAGGGGAGAAAUUAGGGAUGAGCAUUAAGGGUGGAGUAAAGAGUUAUGCUGCAAAUCCCAAAGACAGGACUGAUGAAGGCAUAUUUAUCUCAAGGAUUAACAGUGAUGGGGCAGUGGCUAGAGAUGGCAGACUAGAGGUCGGAGAGAGAAUUCUGGAGGUGAACGGCACCAGUCUAAUAGGAGCCACCCACCAAGAGGCUGUCCGCGCCCUCAGGAGCGUCAGUGACCAGAUGUUCAUCAUGGUCUGUGAUGGCUUUGACCCCGCCCUAGAUGUCCAAUCGCCAGACUCCCCUAAUGCCCCUAUGCCCCCAAACAGGGGAAGGGGGGACUCCAUCUCCAGCAUAGACAGAGAUGGGGAUGAUCUCGUAAUUAUUCAAAAGGAACAGGAAGCUACUGAAGAAGCCAAAAAGUGGGAGGAGGAAGAGGCGGAGCAUAGGAGGCAGCAAACACAUGAGAAAAUUCCAGAAACUUUGGAAAAUGAGCACACAGGAAAUGCAGUCCAACAGAAUUCUAUUGAAAACCAAGUGCCUCCUGAAACACAUGUGAAGGUUGCUCCAGUGCUGCCUGCUAAGCCAGCCGUUCCACCCAAGCGACCCCCAGUACCACCCAAGCCAUCGUACAUUGCUCGGCCUGAGAGCUUGGAGGACCUGGGGCCUCCCCCCAAACCCCCACUCCCAGCCAAACCCGAGCUGGUGAGUCCACUCAGUCCGGUGGACCCCAUCAAACAAGCCAGAAUGCCCUCCGGUGGUAAAAAGCUGGACUCCCCUCAGAAGCAGUCCAAAAUCCCAGUGGCCAAACCUGCUGUACCCCCCAAGACUUCACAACUGACCAAUGCCACACCAAAGAAAGAUAUCCUGUCUUUCAAUGAUAAGAUGCAGUUUUUUGAGAAGGAAAUUCAUGAACACACUGUUGAUUCAACAGGAGAUCCAUCGGUCCAGAACCGAAAUCAGAGUUCUUGUAUUGUAAGAACAGCCAAAGCCGAGAAACGGCUGCAGGAACGCCUGAUUAAGGAGGGUCUGCUGGAUAAAUCGGCAAUAAGCCCGGCCCAACAAAGGGAGCUAGAGGCCGAGAAACGGGCCGCGUGGCGGCAAGCCAGGAUGAAGUCAUUGGAGGUGGACGCCAUGAAGGCCCAAGCUGUGAUAGGAUUGGCCAAGGAGAUGCAGGAGAAAUCCCGCCUGCCGACCGUGCCAGACUCCGCAACUACAGAUGAUGAGAAUGCAGUAAAGCACAGUGCAAAUGGAGAUCAAGAGUGUCCCCGCAGCCCCUAUCAGAACAAAAAACUCAUAGUCCAGACUAAGGAAGGGGAGACUCGGGUACAGGAGAAAUCUCGAGUGCUUGACGAGAAGUGUCACCUCAAAACAGUCGAGUUCGUGGACGAGGCGACGGGGCAGGUGUCGCUCCAAACUGUUCAAGUGAUUGAGAAAACGAUAGAACACGAGGUAGCACGGUGUCCAGUUGUCUGUGUCCGUCCGUGAUGUAGACUCUGUCUUGCUUCACUAGGUGUCAGAAGCUCUGCCUUAGUUCUCUGUUGUCUCACAUUGCUGCCACGUUUCCUUGGAUUCCCAGUCCUUUUUUUUUUUUACAUUUUAGAUUUGGUAAUUGGAGGAACAUUUGUUUUGGAGGGGAAACUACUGCAUAUUCUUAAAAGAAGCCUUUAUUUAAAUGCUUUACGAAUCAUUUGCUCUGCCUCAAUUCUUCAACAGAUCUCUCCCUUUGUGUGUUUUGCGUUUAGUAUUAGAUUUUUUCUGAGUCAGUGUUUUUUUGCAUGAGUGUGGGUAUUUUUUGUUUGUUCCAAGUUUUUUUUUCGGUGGACUUGUUGGCAUGUGAAGUUAUGGGAUGUACUAGUGUUGUGAAUUUGACUAAUGAUAAUGAAGAUGUUUUUAAAGACUAAAAACAAAUAAAGUAACCUAUGCAGUUAACUCACUAACUUUGUGUAAUGUAAGAGUGUUUGUUCUGAAGUUACUGUUUGAUGAUUAACCCCAGACUUGACGUGUUGGUUGUGGUACACUUCUAGGUGGAGGUCACUAAAGAGAACAUCAUAGAACUCAAUCUAGAAGAUGAAUCUAACCAAGACACAGGCUAGUGAUGGCUGAAACUAGGAGUAGAGUGAAUACCUUAAUGUUGCUCAGACACAAGGUUCACAAGAUGCCAAAGAUCCAACAUGCCACCCUUACCACCCCCAUCAGGUCCAAGUACACCAGAUGGGGAAACAGCAUCCGGACUAGUCAACUGACUUGGUGGGGGGAGAUAGGCUAGCACUGGACAUUCCACCUUGUACCGUUUACACAACACCCAAACACUGGUCGAUCUUGUGUGGACUACUUCUUGAGGCUGAUGUGUCUGAUGUGUGACUUUGAAUGUGCUUCAGUGCCAGGAUUUUUUACAGCAAGUUUCCCCCAACUUUCUUGUUCUUCAUUGCAACUGUUUUAUUUAUUUAUCCUGUAGUGGACCCUUUUUAUGUAUGUUGAUAUUUUGACUCCAACCUAUAUGGAACCAAGUUCAUUAAACCCAAGACUUAAGGACAAAAAGCCUGUGGCCCCCAUAUCAUAGGUAGAUCUGGAUACAAGAUUUUAUGUGCAUCGUCUAUGGCUUUGUCGGAUUUUUUUUCUCCCAUUCUUUGUAUAUUGUGGUACAAUUUGUGUUCGUGUCUGCCAUAUGUUUACAGAGGUUCAAUUUUAUCGUAUCAUAGUUAUUAAUUCAGUUUUUAAAGAAGUUUACAUACUGAUGCAAAAUUUUAAGCAUGUAUUUUUUAAUCACAUUGGGAGAAUUUUUAGAAUGGAAAAUCUGUUUUAUCCUGCUAUACCUCAUUUCAAACAGUGGAAGUGCCUGCAAUGUAUUCUUAUGUAGUUACAUUUCUUAAGGAUUUCGUCACGCCCCUGUCAAAAGAUUUUUAACUUUGUUGGCAAGUUAAUACAUUUUCUUAAUACUUUAUGAAACAAAAAUUUUUUAUGUAUAGUUUGUUAACUUUAUUUCUAUAUAGAAAAUUUUUAUUUUGCUUUUGUACGAUAUUUUAGUGGGAUAAAAUUUUAUUUUAGUCUGUACUCCUUUGGAAAGUUAAAUUUAUACAGAAUUGUCUAAGGCAAUAUUGCUCCAGGUGAACCUGAAUUGACUUUUGAAAUGCUUACACCAACUUGUAUACAUGUAACUGGUUAUAUUAUGAAUUAUUCUAGUUGGUACAUAUUUUCUACCCUUUGGAGCAACAUGGUUUGCCCUGUUUACAAAUUGUUAUCCACAUGUGAAUUUGUUAAAUUAUCCAACAUCUAUAUUUUCUAGUCUUCAUUGGAAAGCGGUCCUAGAAUUUUAUACAUGUUAACAUACUGUUGUUAUGGUAACCAGUUCAGAGGUGAUGAUUAAUUAGUUAUAUCAUUCAUGUGUAGAAAAAUUAAUAUAUUGGUGCAUAAUGAACUUUAAGUAUAAAUGUGUCAAUGUAUUCAAGGAGUUUGUGUUGACCUUGAGAGGAGGUCACUGGGAGGUCAGCCUUGACCAUAAAAAGGAGAUUGCUGACUUAGAAAGAGGUCAUUGGAAGGUCAGCCAAUUCCUGUGUGUCAGAAGGUCAGGUGAAGGACACAGGUGCAAUGUAUAGCCAUACUAUCUUAGCAUAUGAAGGGGAUGGGGGAUUUAUUCAUUGAGUUUACAAGUAGAGUAUUACCCAAUGGUUACAGGAAAAUAACCAGCCAAUUUCAUGAUGUCCAGAGACCAAGGCUCUACUUAAUAUAGGUCUUGGAUUGUCUGAAUAGACAGUGUAAUCUUUGUGUAUAUUUUAAUGGUCAUAUCAAAUGAAAAUAUCUUAAUAUAUACUUAUUUACUAAUGCUAACAGGUAAUAGAAUUCACAGGUACAGAAAAAUUCAAAACCUUGUACCCUACUUGUUGAUUUGUGUGAACAUACAAACUAGUGUUAUAAUUUAACACCUGUCAGAAUUCCUGAUUUUGAUCAGUAUUUAUGUGUGUCUCUGUAUCAUAAUGUUUUCAUUAAAGACACAAUUUUUGAUUUAUGCAUAUUGUACAAACUGUCUGUAUUAUACAUUUUGAUGUACAAUGCUGAUCUAUAUGUACAGAUUUUGAUUUAUACCUGUAGUUUACCUACAUUUGAUCAUGGUUUGUUUUUAGACUUUUCAGUAAUGCCUACAAACUUUAAUUUGAGGAAAUUUUAUAUGAAGAAUUAAGAUACAUGUAAUUUUUACUUUCAUUUGCUUUUUACAAACCUUCAUGUUUUAAUUUUUAAAAUAAGUUUUAUGAAGAACAAAUAUAUUUAACAAUUGUGGGGCAUUGUUUAAUAAUUAUAUUUUAAAAUCAUGUAGAAAUAAUGCCUAGCUUAUUUCUCAACAACAUAAUUGUUAACAAUUAAUACAGACUGAUUAAUAACAUGUGCGAUACUUAUAAAUAUUCAUGGUUACACAACUUCGUAUUAAAAUUGCUGAAGCUGUUAUUUCUGAUCUUCUAUGUCUUGUCUUUCUCACAUUGCAAGUGUAAAGGGGAGGAAAAGGCUAAGGGCAAUAACUCUGGAGCCAGGGCUUGCAGAUAUUUACUUACACUUCACAAAAUGUGACUUGAUCUGCUUCAGUAGAUCACAAGUAAAGAAGUUCAGACCUUAUUUUAGGAAGUAUCCAGAAAAUUGCAAUACAAAUGCCAAUUAUAUAUGAAAUUAGAGGGCAAAAUAACUAUUUUCAUAGCCAGAGUUUGUUUGCAUACAGCAAAGAUGUACGUACCACCGAAAUGUCCGAGUUGGAUUUAUUGAGAGCAGGACUGCAUUCAAGAUUGUUGCAGCUAGCAAGGCUGCUAGGAUAGAUAAACACACUGAAUAAAUUACAGGGUAAUGCUGUAAUUGUUAAGCAUGCAGAUCAUUCAAGAUCAAAGCUGCUUUGCAGAUCUUGGAGAUGCUAUGAUCUUGAAUGCAGCCCUGCCCCACUCUUACUCGGUGAAAACUUGUAUACUAGAGAUAUCUUCUACUUUUGUCAUUUAACAAGUUGUAGUGUAUUUCUGAGGUCCUCUGAUUCAUCAAACACAUAAAAAAUUGUAAUUUUAUUUGCAUAAAUCAUAUAUGUAUGUCACAAAAAAACAAAAAACGUAAUUUGAACUAGAACAUAUAUGCAACAUAAUUUAGGUAAAUGCAUCAUUGGACCCCAAACUCCAAAAGUUUGAAAGAAUGGAGGUAACAAGCAACUUUAAGUAGAUAUAUACAUGUAUAUGUUAAAUUCUGGAAACAUGAAGGAAUAUUUACACAGACAAGCAUCUGAAUGUAUGAAUAUUUUUUUUAAUUAAAAUUAAUAAAUAAAAUGAAAAUGAAUGUAAAAAUUAAAUAUUAUAUUUAUACAUAGAAACAUGACACAAUAUAUGAGGCAUUGGUUAUUUAAUAUCACAUGCUUUUCUUCCACUUUAAGUCAAGGACACAGUCAAACCGAGAAUUAAAUACCAUUCCUCAAAACAGACUGAGGAUUAAAACAUUCCUCAAGACAGACUGAGGAUUAAAACAUUCCUCAAGACAGACUGAGGAUUAAAACAUUCCUCAAACAGACUGUCUGACCAGUCCAAUGUUACACAAGAUGCAACAAACAUCAUAAUAUCAGGCAACAGCAAAGUAUGAACUCGGUACAGCAGUUCCUAGGACAGGCUUCUUAUACUAUGGAUACACUGUACAUGUAUUUACAAAUAUAUAGUCAUUAUUGGUGUGGAGCCAAAAAAUAACCCAAUAUGAACACACUUUGGCAACGAACAUUGAGUACACCAGUGACGGAGGCCAUGCUAUGGGGAGAGGGCCACAAACAUGGAGGUCUGGUUAGUGGGCGCGUCUCCCCAGACUGGCAGGCUGGCCACGGUUGUCUCUAGGGACCGGACUAGAGUGUCAGGGGGCUUGGACCGGACCAGGGUGUCGGUGGACUUGGACCGGACCAGGGUGUUGGUGGACUUCUGUUUGGACGCGUCAGCCUUCCAGGCUAGGUAGGUGUCCCAGCCAAGGGCUAUAGUGUUGUUAAAUAGAACCCUGCAAUAAAAUCAGAAUGAUUACAAUUAAUUAGAAUUACAA